UACGUAGGGACCAAGCGUUGUUCGGAUUUACUGGGCGUAAAGCGCACGCAGGUGGCUGAGUCAGUCGAUUGUGAAAGCCCUGGGCUUAACCUGGGAAUUGCAGUCGAUACUACUCAGCUAGAGUGCGGUAGAGGGUAGUGGAAUUCCCGGUGUAGCGGUGAAAUGCGUAGAGAUCGGGAGGAACACCAGUGGCGAAGGCGGCUACCUGGACCAGCACUGACACUGAGGCACGAAAGCGUGGGGAGCAAACAGGG
rnacentral:rRNA from 1 species